GACGAACGCUGGCGGCGUGCCUAAUACAUGCAAGUAGAACGCUGAAGGAGGAGCUUGCUUCUCUGGAUGAGUUGCGAACGGGUGAGUAACGCGUAGGUAACCUGCCUGGUAGCGGGGGAUAACUAUUGGAAACGAUAGCUAAUACCGCAUAAGAGUAGAUGUUGCAUGACAUUUGCUUAAAAGGUGCGAUUGCAUCACUACCAGAUGGACCUGCGUUGUAUUAGCUAGUUGGUGGGGUAACGGCUCACCAAGGCGACGAUACAUAGCCGACCUGAGAGGGUGAUCGGCCACACUGGGACUGAGACACGGCCCAGACUCCUACGGGAGGCAGCAGUAGGGAAUCUUCGGCAAUGGACGGAAGUCUGACCGAGCAACGCCGCGUGAGUGAAGAAGGGUUUCGGAUCGUAAAGCUCUGUUGUAAGAGAAGAACGAGUGUGAGAGUGGAAAGUUCACACUGUGACGGUAUCUUACCAGAAAGGGACGGCUAACUACGUG
rnacentral:rRNA from 1 species